ACCUAGAAUGGUAGUGCAUGGUAGCACGUGGUGUUUUCUCUCUCCUUCCCGUUGGAUUUUUCUGGACUACCGCUGAUAAUUGAAACAGUCAAGAGAGGAACAAAAUUAUGAGUUAUUACCCAUUCCUAACUCUAAACGCUACCGUUUGCGCGAAUCUUUUUCGUUCCACCACUAUCGACAAACAGUGUGUACACACUACCGCAAAACAGCAAACAGGCAGCAUGGGGUCCUUUCCUUCAGUUUGAUUUUCGACUGCACCCCCCGCUGAUCUAAUAAAUGUGGUUGCAACCGAGGGGUUGUCUUCUAUAAGGAAUAAACACGAAAAAUAGCAAUCGCAAUUUAGAAUUUAUAAUUUUGUCAGCCAAAAUGCGAACCCCAGCAGUAGUCUGUUAGCUGUUUCUGUGGCUAAGGGUUCUAGAGUUUCAGUUCAUUCCGUUCCACUCGGUUGGGCACCCUCUACUUCCCCCCCAACCAAUUUGUUCCGACAAUUUGUAAUGGGAAAUCAAUAAGCUGUGGCCCCCCAUUAAAUGCAUAAUUUUUCCAGGUGGAGGCUCUUCUCAUGACAAGGCAAAAAGAGACGUGUAUUUUUGUUAGUUUUUCUAUUGAAUCAACAAUGUGGUAGUGCCUGCUGUCUGGCUCAAAGUCGAUGUCGAUCAAUAAAUUAACAUGCACAUUUGCAUUUAAUUAAAUUUCAA